GAGUUGUAAUUUGAAGAAGCGUUUUCUGCGUAUUUGGUCAGCCUAAGUACUAUUGAAUGAGGCAUCAUGGAGGGUGAUAAUCCCGUCCGGUUGAUCAUUUGCGUUUUACGAUACGCUUUCUAAGAGUCAAGUUGUUUGGGAUUGCAGCUUAAAAUGGGAGGUAAAUUUCUCCUAAGGCUAAAUAACGGCGAGAGACCGAUAGCGAACAAGUACCGUGAGGGAAAGAUGAAAAGAACUUUGAAAAGAGAGUUAAACAGUACGUGAAAUUGUUGAAAGGGAAACGAUUGAAGCCAGUCGUACCUUCGGGUAAUCAGCCUUUCGGGUGCGAUUCUGUGGAGUGUGAGGAGCUUAAACACCUUCAUGUUUUGCAUAUUCGUACUCUUGGGUGUACUUGCCCGUGUGGUUGGUUAACAUCAAUUUUGGUGGUCAUAAAAUGACUGGGGGAAUGUAGCUUCGAUCUUGUAUUGAAGUGUUAUAGCCUUCGGUAGAUGUGAUGAUCGAGAUUGAGGAUUGCAACGGAUACCCUUCGGGGCUACCUGUCUGGUCUCUGAUCGUUGCUCUGGUGCCGAAAGCUUGCUU
rnacentral:rRNA from 1 species